CAUCAGGUAGUACAGAGUUUGAUUCUGGCUCAGAUUGAACGCUGGCGGGAUGCUUUACACAUGCAAGUCGAACGGCAGCAUCGGACUUCGGUCUGGUGGCGAGUGGCGAACGGGUGAGUAAUGUAUCGGAACGUGCCUUCAGUAGCGGGGAUAACUACGCGAAAAGCGCAGCUAAUACCGCAUACGCCCUUCGGGGGAAAGCGGGGGACCUUCGGGCCUCGCACUAUUAGAGCGGCCGAUAUCGGAUUAGCUAGUUGGUGGGGUAACGGCUCACCAAGGCGACGAUCCGUAGCCGGUUUGAGAGACAACCAGCCACACUGGGACUGAGACACGGCCCAGACUCCUACGGGAGGCAGCAGUGGGGAAUUUGGACAAUGGGGAAACCCUGAUCCAGCCAUCCCGCGUGUGCGAUGAAGGCCUUCGGGUUGUAAAGCACUUGGCAGGAAGAAACGGCACGGGAUAAUACCCCGUGCAACUGACGGUACCUGCAGAUAAGCACCGGCUAACUACGUGCCAGCAGCCGCGGUAAUACGGUGGGUGCAAGCGUUAAUCGGAAUUACUGGGCGUAAAGCGCGCAGGCGGUUCGGAAAGAAAGAUGUGAAAUCCCAGAGCUUAACUUUGGAACUGCAUUUUUAACUACCGAGCUAGAGUGUGUCAGAGGGAGGUGAAUUCGCGUGUAGCAGUGAAAUGCGCAGAUAUGCGGAGGAACACCGAUGGCGAAGGCAGCCUCCUGGGAUAACACUGACGCUCAUGCACGAAAGCGUGGGGAGCAAACAGACUAGAUACCCUGGUAGUCCACGCCCUAAACGAUGUCAACUAGCUGUUGGGGCCUUUCGGCCUUGGUAGCGCAGCUAACGGGUGUAAGUGAAGUUGACCGCCUGGGGAGUACGGUCGCAAGAUUAAACUCAAAGGAAUUGACGGGACCCGCACAAGCGGUGGAUGAUGUGGAUUAAUUCGAUGCAACGCGAAAAACCUUACCUACCCUUGACAUGUCUGGAAUCCCGAAGAGAUUUGGGAGUGCUCGCAAGAGAACCGGAACACAGGUGCUGCAUGGCUGUCGUCAGCUCGUGUCGUGAGAUGUUGGGUUAAGUCCUGCAACGAGCGCAACUCCUUGUCAUUAGUUGCUACUUAGGCGGCACUCUAAUGAGGACUGCCGGUACAAACCGGAGUAGAAGGUGGGGACGACGUCAAGUCCUCAUGGCCCUUAUGGGUAGGGCUUCACACGUCAUACAAUGGCCGGGACAGAGGGUCGCCAACCCGCGAGGGGGAGCCAAUCCCAGAAACCCGGAUCGUAGUCCGGAUCGCAGCCCGUAACUCGACUGCGUGAAGUCGGAACGCGUAGUAAUCGCGGAUCAGCAUGUCGCGGUGAAUACGUUCCCGGUCUUGUACACACCGCCCGUCACACCAUGGGAGUGGGUUUUACCAGAAGUAGUUAGCCCAACCGUAAGGAGGGCGAUUACCACGGUAGGAUUCAUGACUGGGGUGAAGUCGUAACAAAGGUAA
rnacentral:rRNA from 1 species